AGCUUUUUAUGCAGUUGCCUGCAGCUGGGGUCUGAUUUGGCAGGCUAUGGGGCUGGGGGACUGCCUUUUGGAUUUGCAUAAAUACGACUGUGCAUAUAUGACUGGACAAAUUUGAUGGGAGGAUGGUGCCUACUUCUUCCUUGCAUGGCCACUCCGUCUUCUCUUCCUUCUUGGACUGACUAGGGCGAGUGACAGCUGCCAAUUUCCUCUCCUUGGCUUGCUUGGUGUCUCCUCUUUCCAGGAUUACUUUCCAGGCUUGGCAUGGCCCUCAUUUCACCUUGCUCUCACAACAACAUGGUUUUCUGUCCUCACAUAGGAGAGAAUCACUUUGCUUGGCAAGCAGAGCAACCAGCUAGGAGAUUGUACGGUUACAAAUCAAAAGAGUUUUAAAUAGAAGUUGAUAUGUAAGGAAAUUCAAAUUAAUACUGAAACAAUGAUAAAAAUUGUGGUAAAAUUUAUCACAAAAGUCUUUCUGUGCAUGAUGGCCAGUCCCACAAUUUUAAUUGUAGUCAUUCCCCCUGCAGCACAUAAAUGGCUCUUAAGAAUAUAAUUUUCUUUUGCCAUGUAGUGCAUGAAAAACACCUGACAAUGUGCUAACAAACAGAGCAGGAAUAGUGGAAUAUGCUUGUUGAAAAAUAGAAUGCAGUUAGGUUGUUUGUGAGGACAUACCUUGAUUGAUUCCAUUUGAUCUUUAUUUUCUCCCAGAGUAUGCAGUAUAAAAACUCUAACAAUUCAUCUGUUCUUGCAUUCAUCUGUUACUGCGCUGUCACCCCACCAGUCAUGGACCGCUUGCUUUGUGCUUGCCAAAAUUUGUUGCAGUAACCACUACAGCAGUGUGGACAACCCAGAAUAGCCAUUGGGCAGGUGGAAUAGAUCCACAGUGGUGGAAAGACUUGCAAAUUUCAGGUCCAGGAACACAGAGAAGACCUACAUGAACAGGGACUUUUAAUUUAUGUACAAGGAGGGAAUAAACUGACUCAUCUCUGAGAGACGGUUCUGUGUAGGAAGGCAGGAGAAUGAUGUAGUCCCUUUGGAUUUUGUUUUGUGGAUUUUGGGAUGGGAGUUGUUUGUUUCUGUGUUUAUUUUCCAGAACACCUGAGAGUUAUCCUGCAUUCAUACAGUUCAAGAAGGGAAGGGCUCAGGGCUGAUACCCUAGCAGUCAUGCCUGCCCGUGUUAUACAGUACCACAGGGCUGUCCCCUAUCUCCACCACUGCUGAUUUGGCAUCCCUCUCAUUCCCAGCAGUAUGGAGAGGAGAAUGGAAUACAAAGCAGAGGCAUUUGUGUCAUCUCUCUUGUCCUACAUCUCUAGCUGUUUGUAAACAACUACAGUGACUUGUUUUGGUGUUGUGGUCAGCCUGCAGCCCUGUUUGUAUUUAAUAAAGAAACUUCUGGAGAAGA